rfam:Halorientalis sp. IM1011, complete genome.
GCCGCCGUAGCUCAGCUGGUAGAGCACCUCGCUGUUACGGUGAGGAGGUCUCGCCUGUUCACCGCAGAGACGAGGUUGUCCCAGGUUCGAACCCUGGCGGUGGCG